CCUCCCGCGGGAGCGCGGCCCCGAGCGCGGCCCCGAGCGGGAGCUGAGGGUCCCCUCACAAACCCCUCAGCAACCCCUCCACCCGCUGCCCUCCCCGCUCGGGACCUGGGCUGGGUGACACGGGGCUCUCGGGUCACAGGCUGGAUGGACUCGAAGAAUUCACAGCGUUACAGAGAGGGACUGCAAAGCCAGCGAGUUCUGCCUCGAGGCCCCGGACAAAGCUGGGCUGCCUGUGGAAGAGGAUGGAGAAGACAUCAGUGUAAUGCUAUGUGCUGCCCAGGAAAUACCUGUGUUACUGCUUCGUGAUCUCUUAAAAUUGUAGCUAAUAAAUAAUAACAAAACCGGAUUGCACAUUCA